GCUCGGGUGGCGGAAUUGGUAGACGCGCUAGAUUAAGGAUCUAGUGGGGUAAUACCCGUGGGGGUUCGAGUCCCCCCUCGAGCACCA
rnacentral:tRNA from 1 species